CUCACCAGAUAAGACAGCUGAAUGAUUAGUCGGGCUGAAGACUCUACUUGACUAGCUGAGAGGAGGUGCAUGGCCGUCGUCAGUUCGUACUGUGAAGCAUCCUGUUAAGUCAGGCAACGAGCGAGACCCACGCCAACAGUUGCCAGCUCGUCCUCCGGGAUGGUGGGGACACUGUUGGGACCGCCUCUGCUAAAGAGGAGGAAGGAAUGGGCAACGGUAGGUCAGCAUGCCCCGAAUUAUCUGGGCUACACGCGGGCUACAAUGGGUGGGACAAUGGGUAUCUACCCCGAAAGGGGACGGGAAUCUCCUAAAACCAAUCUUAGUUCGGAUUGAGGGCUGCAACUCGCCCUCAUGAAGCUGGAAUCCGUAGUAAUCGCGUUUCAACAGAACGCGGUGAAUACGUCCCUGCUCCUU
rnacentral:rRNA from 1 species